AGAUUGCUUUACCCUGAGGUAAACGUCAUAAAAUGGGUCCAGUGCAAGACGUGCAGGGGCUGGCUGCAUCAGGAUUGUGCUGGGAUUGAAAUGGAGCCGUUUGACUGCGGGUGCGAGGACUCCAUUGAGCAUCCUCGGUAUAACAUAAUUUAUCAAGGAAACAUAGUAUCAGUCAAAAAUACGAGGCUCAAAGGAUGAAAAAAUGAGGGCUUGCUCUUUUCUUAUUUCUCUGCAGGAUCAAGGAUGCUGUUGACAGUUGAGGAAUUCAUGCUGUCUUUUCUAAGACACAGAUCAAGGUUGCUUUUGAAUGCACUAUCAGUUGUUAAAGCCACCGUUUCUUUUUCAGAUGUUUACAUUUUUGUCUCUUGCUCUUUGGUUUCAGACAUUACACGAUGAUCUACUGUCUGGAAAGAUCCGCUCCAACAGAAUGUUCCUUUGGAGGAAUCCCGCCACCUCACUCCGACUAAAGCAGCAUCUUAAGAUAAGGACACUAAGUUGGAGUGAGCAGCGCGUAAGUAAAAAUGCCAUCCAUCAUGAAUAUUUUUACUCUCAGGGGUGUUACAUUUGAAAGGUGUUUACUUUCUGUGUUUUUCUUCAAUAGAUGUUCGAGCUCCUGCGGUUCAUUGAGGUGGCAACAAACAUUUCUAAAAAAAUAAAGAGAG